rnacentral:rRNA from 1 species
GGCUCAGGACGAACGCUGGCGGCGUGCUUAACACAUGCAAGUCGAACGGUGAACCGGGCUUCGGCCCGGGGAUCAGUGGCGAACGGGUGCGUAACACGUGGGCAACCUGCCCCAGACACUGGGAUAACUCCGGGAAACCGGGGCUAAUACCGGAUACUCUCGUCCGAUCACAUGAUCGGCCGAGGAAAGCUCCGACGGUCUGGGAUGGGCCCGCGGCCUAUCAGCUUGUUGGUGGGGUAACGGCCUACCAAGGCGACGACGGGUAGCUGGUCUGAGAGGACGACCAGCCACACUGGAACUGAGACACGGUCCAGACUCCUACGGAAGGCAGCAGUGGGGAAUCUUGCGCAAUGGGCGAAAGCCUGACGCAGCGACGCCGCGUGGGGGAUGAAGGCCCUCGGGUCGUAAACCCCUUUCGGCAGGGACGAAGCGAACGUGACGGUACCUGCAGAAGAAGUCCCGGCUAACUACGUGCCAGCAGCCGCGGUAAGACGUAGGGGACGAGCGUUGUCCGGAUUCAUUGGGCGUAAGGAGCGCGUAGGCGGCCGCGCAAGUCGGAUGUGAAAACCCGGGGCUCAACCCCGGGCCUGCAUCCGAUACUGCGUGGCUAGAGGUAGGUAGGGGAGAUCGGAAUUCCUGGUGUAGCGGUGAAAUGCGCAGAUAUCAGGAGGAACACCGGUGGCGAAGGCGGAUCUCUGGGCCUUACCUGACGCUCAGGCGCGAAAGCUAGGGGAGCGAACAGGAUUAGAUACCCUGGUAGUCCUAGCCGUAAACGUUGGGUGCUAGGUGUGGGUGGACAUCAACCCCAUCCGUGCCGAAGCUAACGCAUUAAGCACCCCGCCUGGGGAGUACGGGCGCAAGGCUAAAACUC